AUACGUAGGGAGCGAGCGUUGUCCGGAAUUACUGGGUGUAAAGGGAGCGUAGGCGGGAGUGCAAGUCAGAUGUGAAAUACAUGGGCUCAACCCAUGGGCUGCAUUUGAAACUGCAUUUCUUGAGUGAAGUAGAGGUAAGCGGAAUUCCUGGUGUAGCGGUGAAAUGCGUAGAUAUCAGGAGGAACACCGGUGGCGAAGGCGGCUUACUGGGCUUUUACUGACGCUGAGGCCCGAAAGCGUGGGGAGCAAACAGGAUUAGAUACCCUGGUAGUCCACGUUGUAAACGAUGAUUACUAGGUGUGGGGGGACUGACCCCUUCCGUGCCGCAGUUAACACAAUAAGUAAUCCACCUGGGGAGUACGGCCGCAAGGUUGAAACUCAAAUGAAUUGACGGGG
rnacentral:rRNA from 1 species